UUCUUUGAGCUCCAACAGAGGGCACUUGUAAGGUUUCUAAAUUAACACUGUUUGGACCUGAUAACACUUGUCCUCUUCAUGACACUAGAACCGUGCUUCCCUGGUGAUGAGCUGCAGUCCAAGAAGGGGCUGGCCUGACUAUGGACAACUACUGCAUCGCUGCUGGAAUUAAAUUAAAAAAUUACAAAACAA